rnacentral:rRNA from 1 species
UGAGGAAUAUUGGUCAAUGGACGCAAGUCUGAACCAGCCAAGUAGCGUGCAGGAUGACGGCCCUAUGGGUUGUAAACUGCUUUUAUAUGGGGAUAAAGUGGGGAACGUGUUCCCUUUUGCAGGUACCAUAUGAAUAAGGACCGGCUAAUUCCGUGCCAGCAGCCGCGGUAAUACGGAAGGUCCAGGCGUUAUCCGGAUUUAUUGGGUUUAAAGGGAGCGUAGGCUGGAGAUUAAGUGUGUUGUGAAAUGUAGACGCUCAACGUCUGAAUUGCAGCGCAUACUGGUUUCCUUGAGUACGCACAACGUUGGCGGAAUUCGUCGUGUAGCGGUGAAAUGCUUAGAUAUGACGAAGAACUCCGAUUGCGAAGGCAGCUGACGGGAGCGCAACUGACGCUUAAGCUCGAAGGUGCGGGUAUCAAACAGG